rnacentral:rRNA from 1 species
UACAGAGGUUGCAAGCGUUAAUCGGAAUUACUGGGCGUAAGCGCGCGUAGGUGGCAAGUUAAGUCGGAUGUGAAAGCCCUGGGCUCAACCUAGGAAUUGCAUUCGAUACUGGCUAGCUCGAGUUUGGUAGAGGAGAGUGGAAUUCCAGGUGUAGCGGUGAAAUGCGUAGAUAUCUGGAGGAACAUCAGUGGCGAAGGCGACACCCUGGACUCAUACUGACACUGAGGUGCGAAAGCGUGGGGAGCAAACAGG